rnacentral:rRNA from 1 species
GUGUCAGCAGCCGCGGUAAGACGGAGGGUGCUAGCGUUGUUCGGAAUCACUGGGCGUAAAGGGCGCGUAGGCGGCCUUGGCCGUCGGCUGUGAAAGCCCGGGGCUCAACCCCGGAGGUGCAGCCGAGACCCCAAGGCUGGAGGCCGGAAGAGGAGGGUGGAAUACCCAGUGUAGAGGUGAAAUUCGUAGAUAUUGGGUGGAACACCGGUGGCGAAAGCGGCUCUCUGGUCCGGUCCUGACGCUGAGGCGCGAAAGCGUGGGGAGCAAACAGGAUUAGAAACCCCCGUAGUCC